rnacentral:lncRNA from 1 species
CCACAAUCGAGAUGCCAUGCAAAUGGCGGUCCCUCAAAUACCCCUAUACGUACCUUCCGGGGCCCCGCACACUGUGAUUGACAGUCUUGUGUGAGGCGAACCCCAGCUGCUCGCACCCAACAUAUUGCGGAGCACAGUCGCUAAUUAUUGUUGUCCCCGGCUCAAUGUAUUCAUACAUGUAAGUCCACAGGACAGCACAGGUCUUGUUCAGUACCUAGGUGGGAAAACAGGCAUGAAAGUGCUCGUUGCUCGAAAGGCCGCGCAUUGUUGCUGAUGCCACAUACAUCCGCAUGCAAUACUUACAUGCCAGUAGAGGCCCUCUUUCAUCUCGUGACAGUAAAUCCCAAACAUGGUGAUGUUGUGGGAUCCUGUCACAUGGCCUCUAUGAUAUUUUCUUCUGCAGGCGAAGGUUUUGUCGACCUGCAGAGAGAACAAUAGGAAUCUGUAUGCCUAGGCAGAAUGAGCAACUUGAAGGGGUAUUGAACAGCAUACUUACUUCUAUAGUUUUCCCCAGCUGCCAAUCUUCAUUUGCAUGUGCAAAACUUGCACUUGGGCAACCUCCCGGAAAAAGUUGUAGAAAUCGAUAGCUGUCCUGCGGGAUACUUGACACUCUGUCUCGGCAGUGGAUACAGCGAGUCUAACUACCCACACCAUCAUGAGGCAGACAACCUGAAAAUAUAAGAAAGCAACACAGUUUGCGGGAGGCCAGGAGGCAUCAGCAUAUAGGGCUGACGAGACCGGCAGCACCGUGUGCCCAUGAGCAGCCAGAGCACACCGGUGAAGUGCUUCACCGUGAUGAAGACUGGUGGAGCCCCUUACCUUUGUGAAAGUGAUGUGGACACGUUCAAAGAAGGUGUUAUGCAAUGGAGACAGCAAACCAUGCACUACUCCCUCCUGGCUUUUUUUUCAGCACCUGUGAUGUUGGUGCAGGGCCACUGGUGCCACAACACCUGUACGUGAUCUGCAGUGCAUUGUCCCGGGAAGCCUUUGGUCGCAUUGGGCCUAAGGGAGAGAAAAAUAACACAAAUCGUCAUGCACCCUGUAGAGGUCUGGCCGUGGAAUAGCGCCGGCAUGUGCCAGGAAUCAAAAGCUGCAGCAGGGCAAGCCUCCCCACUGUGGUUGCUUACCUUGGCAUUUCGAGCAAGGAGGCGGUACGGUGGAAUCCCAGUCACAGCAUGUGUCAUUCGGCAUUGUACCCCGAGCACGCCUACCGGCAUUGCCCGGUCAAGGCUGGUAUAGAGGUUCCGAAGAGUUACUCGCAAGUCAACAGUAUAGCAUAGUGGGCUCAGUGAUGGGCCACAGAGUAGGACCUCUCAGGUUUGAGACACACAGGAACAUAAGGAUUUUACCAGAAAUGUAAACAUAGAAGUACGGUGAAAGAAGAAGGCCGGCCUCCUGUCAGGCACGGGAACACGACAGGGGGCGACAAUAGGAUACCCAGUGGAAACAAAAGAUCAAAGGGGGGUCCCAAACAUGGGUGAAUGCAUUUUUUGCUCACGUGCGAGCGCCGCGCAAUGCAGACAACCUUUUUCCAACUGCCCCAAAAUGCUGAACCCUGUUUGCAUCCUGUCCACCCCAAAAAAAUG